CCUACGGGAGGCAGCAGUGAGGAAUAUUGGUCAAUGGACGAGAGUCUGAACCAGCCAAGUAGCGUGAAGGAUGACUGCCCUAUGGGUUGUAAACUUCUUUUAUAUGGGAAUAAAACGUUCCACGUGUGGGAUUUUGUAGGUACCCUGUGAAUAAGGAUCGGCUAACUCCGUGACAGCAGCCGCGGUAAUACGGAGGAUCCGAGCGUUAUCCGGAUUUUUUGGGUGUAAAGGGAGCGUAGGUGGGUUUUUAAGUCAGUUGUGAAAGUUUGCGGCUCAACCGGAAAAUUGCAGUUGAAACUGGAAGACUUGAGUACAGUAGAGGUGGGCGGAAUUCGUGGUGUAGCGGUGAAAUGCUUAGAUAUCACGAAGAACUCCGAUUGCGAAGGCAGCCCACUGGGCUGCAACUGACGCUGAGGCUCGAAAGUGUGGGUAUCAAACAGGAUUAGAUACCCGGGUAGUC
rnacentral:rRNA from 1 species